rnacentral:lncRNA from 1 species
AUCCGAGAAAGAUCAUGGCCACUUUGAUCCGAGAAAGAUCAUGAAUAUUUCGAUCCGAGGAAGAUCACAGAAAUCGAUCCGAAUAAAAGAUCGUCGCAUGAUCCUGGUAGUCCAAAGCCAAAGCCAAAGCUUAAGCUAAAGCCAAAAAGAAAGGAUUAAAGAUGAUGUGAUAAUAGAAGAAAAUAGAAAGAUAAGACAUGAAAUAAUCGUUGAAUAAAAUUGUUUCACUUAUUUAACAUAUGAUGAUGUAUCUCUUUUGAUAAAAC